AGCGAACGCUGGCGGCAGGCCUAACACAUGCAAGUCGAACGAAGCCUUCGGGCUUAGUGGCGGACGGGUGAGUAACACGUGGGAACGUACCUUUUGGUUCGGAACAACUCAGGGAAACUUGAGCUAAUACCGGAUGAGCCCUUAGGGGGAAAGAUUUAUCGCCGAAAGAGCGGCCCGCGUUAGAUUAGCUAGUUGGUGAGGUAAAGGCUCACAAAGGCAACGAUCUAUAGCUGGUCUGAGAGGAUGAUCAGCCACACUGGGACUGAGACACGGCCCAGACUCCUACGGGAGGCAGCAGUGGGGAAUCUUGCGCAAUGGGCGAAAGCCUGACGCAGCAAUGCCGCGUGAAUGAUGAAGGUCUUAGGAUUGUAAAAUUCUUUUACCAGGGACGAUAAUGACGGUACCUGGAGAAAAAGCCCCGGCUAACUUCGUGCCAGCAGCCGCCGUAAUAC
rnacentral:rRNA from 1 species